rnacentral:rRNA from 1 species
GGACUACUCGGGUUUCUAAUCCCGUUUGCUCCCCUGGCUUUCGCGCCUCAGCGUCAGAAAAGGUCCAGCAGCUCGCUUUCGCCACCGGCGUUCCUUCCGAUAUCAACGCAUUUCACCGCUCCACCGGAAGUUCCAGCUGCCCCUACCUCGCUCGAGAUGCACAGUAUCCAAGGCCAUUUUCCGGUUGAGCCGAAAGAUUUCACCCCGGACUUGUGCACCCGCCUACGCGCCCUUUAAGCCCAGUGAUUCCGAACAACGUUCGCACGGUUCGUCUUACCGCGGCUGCUGGCAC